rnacentral:rRNA from 1 species
CGUGUAGGCGGCCAUGCAAGUCGGGUGUGAAAGCCCUCGGCUUAACCGAGGAAGUGCGCCCGAAACUACAUGGCUUGAGUACCGGAGAGGGUGGCGGAAUUCCCGGUGUAGAGGUGAAAUUCGUAGAUAUCGGGAGGAACACCAGCGGCGAAGGCGGCCACCUGGACGGAUACUGACGCUGAGACGCGAAAGCGUGGGGAGCAAACA